rnacentral:lncRNA from 1 species
GCCCCCCAUAGGGACCCCAUAGAGACCCCAGGACCCCCAUAAGGACCCCAUAGGGACUCCAUAGAGACCUCAGGACCCCCUUAAGGACCCCAUAGGGACCCCAUAGGGACCCCAUAGGGACCCAAAGCCCCCCAUAGGGACCCCAUAGGGACCCCAUAGAGACACUGGCACCCCCAUAGGGACCCCAUAGAGCCCUCAUUCUGCCCCAUAGACCCCCAUAGACCCCCAACACCCCAAUAAAUACCCCAAUAAAUACCCCCCCCAUAAAUACCCCAUCCAUCAGUAUAGGGUUGGGGGGAAGGGGGCUCAGGGGGGCCGGGGGGGUUGGGGUCGGAAGAGACCGCCCCAUAGAGUCCCCAAGGCCCCCAUAGGGACCCCACAGAGACCCCAUGGAGAGCCCAUAGAGACCCGAAGCCCCCCAUAGGGACCCCAUAGAGACCCCAUAGGGACCCCAUAGAGACCCCAGGACCCCCAUGGGGACCCCAUACGGAUCUCAUAGGCACCCCAUAGGGACUCCAUAGAGACACGAGGACCCCAUAGGGACCCCAUAGAGACCCAAAGCCCCCCAUAGAGACCCCAUAGAGACCGCAAGACCCCCACAAGGACCCCAUAGGGACCCAAGGACCCGCAUAAGGACCCCAUAGGGACCCCAUAGGGACCCCAAUCCCCCCAUAGGGACCCCAGGACCUCAUAGGGACACCAGGACCCCCAUAAGGACCCCAUAGGGACCCCAUAGAGACCCCAUACAGACCCCAUACAGACCCCAGAACCCCCUGAAGGAUCCCAUAGAGACCCCAAGACCCCCAUAGGGACCCCAUAGGGGCCCCAUAGGGACACUGGGACCCCCAUAGGGACCCCAUAGGAACCCCAUAGAGCCCUCAUUCUGCCCCAUAGACCCCCAUAGACCCCCAACACCCCAAUAAAUACCCCCCCCAUAAAUACCCCAUCCAUCAGUAUAGGGUUGGGGGGAAGGGGGCUCAGGGGGGCCGGGGGGGUUGGGGUCGGAAGAGACCGCCCCAUAGAGUCCCCAAG